ensembl:lncRNA
GAGGAAGAAAAAGGGGUUGCCUUGUUGUGAUUGGCCCAGAGGAGGGUUCCAUGUGAAAGAGAACUAAGGUCGGCUGUAAGUAGAAGGAACAGUCGCUUCAAUUACCCCAGCCAUGAGAAGCUCAGACCAUGGGGACACUCCCUGAGAACACUGCUGAGAUGGGACAUGGGAAAUAACAACAAAAGAAGCAUCCGAGGGGGAAGGUUUGAUCAUGGAGAAACGCUUGGGCAGGCAGCAGCUUCCAGACUCGCUGAAAAACUUUUGGCUGAAUUGGACUGGGAUUCUUGAGGUCAAGCGAACUUUUUAAAAUAUGUUUGCUGCUACAGACAACCAGCUCCAUUGAAGUUGCUGUUGACAGAGACUAUUAAACCGCCUUACAGAAGCAC